rnacentral:rRNA from 1 species
AAGUAGCAAUACUUUAGUAAAGCGGCGCACGGGUGAGUAACACGUGGAUAACCUGCCUCGAAGUGGGGAAUAACCCCGGGAAACCGGAGCUAAUACCGCAUAAUCUGACGAGAUCUGUGGAUUUUGUCAGCAAAGGAGCAAUUCGCUUUGAGAGGGGUCCGCGGCUGAUUAGCUAGUUGGUGAGGUAAUGGCUCACCAAGGCCACGAUCAGUAGCCGGUCUGAGAGGACGGUCGGCCACACUGGAACUGAGACACGGUCCAGACUCCUACGGGAGGCAGCAGUGGGGAAUUUUUCGCAAUGGGGGCAACCCUGACGAAGCAACGCCGCGUGGGUGAUGAAGUAUUUCGGUACGUAAAACCCUUUCGACGGGGACGAAAGCCGCAAGGUUUGACGGUACCCGUAGAAGAAGCCCCGGCUAACUCCGUGCCAGCAGCCGCGGUAAUACGGGGGGGGCAAGCGUUGUUCGGAAUUACUGGGCGUAAAGGGCGCGUAGGCGGUUUGCUAAGUUGGAUGUGAAAACUCUGGGCUUAACCCAGAGCCUGCAUCCAAAACUGGCAAACUUGAGUACUGGAGGGGAAAGCGGAAUUCCUGGUGUAGCGGUGAAAUGCGUAGAUAUCAGGAGGAACACCGGUGGCGAAGGCGGCUUUCUGGACAGUAACUGACGCUGAGGCGCGAAAGCUAGGGGAGCAAACAGGAUUAGAUACCCUGGUAGUCCUAGCCCUAAACGAUGGAUACUUGGUGUGAGGGGGGAUUGAAUCCCUUCGUGCCGUAGCUAACGCAAUAAGUAU